rnacentral:rRNA from 1 species
AACGUAGGAGACAAACGUUAUCCGGAGUUACUGGGCGUAAAGGGCGUGUAGGUGGUUCUGUAAGUCUGGCGUGAAAUUUCUCGGCUUAACCGAGGCAGUCGUCGGAUACUGCAGGGCUAGAGGACGGUAGAGGCGUGUGGAAUUCCGGGUGUAGUGGUGAAAUGCGUAGAGAUCCGGAGGAACACCAGUGGCGAAGGGCGAACACGCUGGGC